CGCUGGAACCGUAUUGGGAAGCUGUGGGACUUCCGGAAGGUGUGACCCAUCUGGCUGGAUGAGAUCACUAGGGACUGGCCUUUGAAAGUUGUAGCCCAGCAGCACUCUGGUCUGCUGCUUUGCUGCCCACUCCAGUUAUCAUGAUCCGAGCUGCACCUUUGAACCUUCCGGGGACUGAAACCCUCAGCCGCCAGGAGCAGGUUGCUUCUGUCAGGAAUUAUGGCGACCACAGUGCAAAAGCAACUAAGCCAUACCACAUCUUGGAGAGGCAUCCAAGGACACAUAGCCUACACAGAGAGACACACAAACAUGUUGGAAACAGAAGACGCAUAACAACAAACGCUUACUGAUCUUGAGCUAGUCAGUCAAGGGCAAGCCCAGGCAGCUUUGUUUUUUAAUGUUCAUCUGUCAUUAUUUUCCUAAAGAGAUGCCCUGGAGUAGCCAGAACAGAACCCCCACCCCCACCCCCACCCCACUCCCGCUGUGUGCUUCAGCAUCCAAGUGUGACGAGAUCAUUGCUACUGGCCGUUCUCUGAUUCUGAUGAACACCAGAGUGGAUGCUGUAUGGACCGCUCUCAUGAUGAUCCAGUUGAUCCAGCUCUGCGGCUUAGGUCAUUGUCCUCAUUCAUCCACGGAUGGGAAAACCAACGUUAGAGAGGCUAUGGAUCAUCGCCUGGGUGAGGUCUUAGUCACAUGGUCAGCUUGAAAGUGAUCCUGGGAAAGGCAGACUCAAAAUGGGCCUCUGCAUGUGCCACAAUAUAGAGCUCUGACUGAAAGGA